rnacentral:rRNA from 1 species
UACGUAGGGUGCAAGCGUUUGUCCGGAAUUAUUGGGCGUAAAGAGCUUGUAGGCGGUUUGUCGCGUCUGCUGUGAAAUUUCGGGGCUCAACCCCGAACUUGCAGUGGGUACGGGCAGACUAGAGUGUGGUAGGGGAGACUGGAAUUCCUGGUGUAGCGGUGAAAUGCGCAGAUAUCAGGAGGAACACCGAUGGCGAAGGCAGGUCUCUGGGCCAUAACUGACGCUGAGAAGCGAAAGCAUGGGAGCGAACAGG